rnacentral:lncRNA from 1 species
GUUAUUUUGCAUAUUCCUACAUUUCUUUAACAGUUAGAACGUGAAAUUGGGCCCAACGACACCAACAGCUGCUUAAAAGUCUGUAAGUAGACACACAUAUACACACAUACACUCCGGGUCAGGAGAAUAGCGUCUACACAGUGAGACAGGCAUGCUUAACCAUAUAUAAGAUGAAUUACUAUUAACUAUAAUCACUACAAUUAUGCCAUUUAAUUCAUUUAAUUAAUUAAUUCUUACUUUAUAUUUUGAUUAUAUUAUUUUUAUUCAUAUUUGAUCAUUCUCUUGAAUUCCUAUUAUUAAAUUAGUCCCACAUAUAUAUACCCAUGCAGUAAAAAUAGUUUUAAGGGUUAGGGUAGAAAUAAUGGGGGUUACAAACAACCUGAAGUCAUACAAGUCAAAGUAAAAUUAUAACGAUUUAACAUGAAUUUCUAAUCUGAUUUUUGGAAGGGGUUCCUAAGGCACAUAGGCAGCAGCGGCAGGUUUUGGGUAGAACCAUAAUGGCAUAUUCUUAUGUUAUUCUACAUGGAGGGUGGGUCAAUAGGGAAGAGCACAUCCACCUUGCUCUUCACAGUAGGUAGUGGACCUUAAGUUCCGUCCGGGUUUGUAAUUCCGAUCCCAGUUCCCGUAAAUCUGUCUACGAUUUUGUUAGGUGACGGAGUUCGUUUUCGCAGCACAACACCCACCCCAUCUUCCCUGAGCCUAGCCGGCAAACUUUUAGUAGACAGAGAGUGCUGACGAGACGACACUUCCCGUGUCCGUUACACAUUAUACAGAUGGUUGGGGGAUGUUAACAUCAGUGCAGGUACGCUUGAUGUCGUGAUAGAUGUAAUGGAAAAAGAAGAAAUGCCAGUAGAGGAUAAUUUAUGUCUUUUGUCCUUCGAUGAAAUGAAGGUUACUGAUGCUUUCGAGUAUGACAGCAAAGCGGAUGUUGUCUAUGAGCCAAGCGAAUAUGUCCAACUGGCCAUAGUUCGUGGCUUAAAAAAGUCUUCCAAGAAGCCAGUAUUCAUCGAUUUCAAUACUCGAAUGGAUGUGAAUACACUGCUCUGGCUCCGGCACUCGGGCUUCGGAAAUCAAAGAUUAUGGAGAGAGCUUGGCAUAUCGGAAAGUAAGUUUCUUGUACGAAUGAAAAAGAUAGUUAAAGAGAAAUAAAAAUAUUAAAACAAAUUUUUUUUAGCAAAGACCUGGUUUAGCCAUCCAUCGGAUGAAAUUUUGAAAAUAUUCGUUUUUUCGGACACUCUACAUCUGAUAAAGUUGGUCCGGAACCACUAUGUCGCCUCCGGUUUAAUUAUCAACGGAAAAAAAUUGAAUAAGACGACAGUGCAGCAAACAAUUAGUCUCUGUGCUAAGUCAGAAGUGUCGAUUUUAUUUAAGAUUACAAAGCCCAUAAACUGCCCUUUCAAAAAGGCAUUUUAGUCAACAAUGCAUCCCUUGAUUUUUUGUAUACAGUACAUAUUAACAAGUCGUCUUAACCAAGACAUUGUUGGGAACUUUUUCGGCGCCAUGAGGUCCAAAGGUGGACAGUAUGACCAUCCAACUGCACUUCAGUUUAAGUAUAGGUUAAGUAAAUAUAUAACAGGUAUGACAAACCUAGA